CCUACGGGUGGCAGCAGUGAGGAAUAUUGGUCAAUGGGCGAGAGCCUGAACCAGCCAAGUCGCGUGAGGGAUGAAGGUACAGAGUAUCGUAAAGCCCUUUUGUCAGGGAACAAAGGCGUGGACGUGUCCCCGGAUGAGUGUACCUGAAGAAAAAGCAUCGGCUAAUUCCGCGCCAGCAGCCGCGGUAAUAGGGGGGAUGCGAGCGUUAUCGGGAUUUAUGGGGUUUAAGGGGUGGGCGGGGGGGCUGUUAAGUCAGCGGGCAAAGCCCGGGGCUAAACCCGGGCCCGCCGUUGAAACUGGGAGGCUCGAGUUGGAGAGAGGUAUGCGGAAUGCGCGGUGUAGCGGUGAAAUGCGUAGAUAUCGCGAAGAACUCCGAUGGCGAAGGCAGCAUGCCGGCUCCACACUGACGCUGAGGCACGAAAGCGUGGGUAUCGAACAGGAUUAGAUACCCCUGUAGUC
rnacentral:rRNA from 1 species